rnacentral:rRNA from 1 species
UGGGGAAUAUUGGACAAUGGGGGCAACCCUGAUCCAGCCAUGCCGCGUGAAUGAUGAAGGCCUUCGGGUUGUAAAGUUCUUUUGGUGGGGACGAUGAUGACGGUACCCACAGAAUAAGCUCCGGCUAACUUCGUGCCAGCAGCCGCGGUAAUACGCAGGGCGCUAGCGUUGUUCGGAAUUACUGGGCGUAAAGGGCGCGUAGGCGGUUUGGUAAGUUGGACGUGAAAGCCCAGGGCUCAACACUGGAACUGCAUUCAAAACUGCUUGACUUGAAUUCGGUAGAGGUUGGUGGAAUUCCCAGUGUAGAGGUGAAAUGCGUAGAUAUUGGGAAGAAUAUCCGUGGCGAAGGCGGCCAACUGGACCGACAUUGACGCUGAGGCGCGAAAGCGUGGGGAUCAAACA